GACAGAGGGUGCAAACGUUGUUCGGAAUUACUGGGCGUAAAGCGCGUGUAGGCGGUGUGGUAAGUCUGAUGUGAAAGCCCCGGGCUCAACCCGGGAAGUGCACUCGAUACUGCCACGCUAGAGUAUCGGAGAGGUUGGUGGAAUUCUCGGUGUAGAGGUGAAAUUCGUAGAUAUCGAGAGGAACACCGGUGGCGAAGGCGGCCAACUGGACGAAUACUGACGCUGAGACUCGAAAGCGUGGGGAGCAAACAGG
rnacentral:rRNA from 1 species